AGAUUCGGGUAAAACUGCUAAGACAGGACAUGCACCGAGGCCCUCUGUGGCUUCCAUGUCAUGUGCUAUGGUAGUAGGCACCACCCUCACAACAUGCCUGUUAUUUCAUUUUAUUUUGAGUGUGAGUUUUCAAUGUGGAAGCAUAGUAAUGCUUUAGAGAGGAAGGAAAAUUAUACAAUCAUCUGAUAACCAAAACAGAUAAAGAUACUAAAACUAUAAAUUAUAAGAAAUCACUGGAAAUACAAAAUUUUAUGAUAAGAACUAAUCAUGAUGUAUAACUAGUUGUGAUUAUCCGUGAGGGAAAAUACACAUUUAGGUAAUGAAUUCUAUAGCAGAACAUAACUAUGUUUCCAUAUGGAUACCAUAAAUAUAUUCCUAAUCCUUGGUUAAGGUGAUGUUUUUAGCACCUUAAUCUCCCCCUUUUUUUUCCCUUUUUUGUGAAAAAGAUAGAGGCUAUAAUUGAAAUAGGAGAAAAUGUAUAUAAAAAUCUGGGAGUUACUAGUACCUACAUCUGUGUGAACACAGACAAGUGACCUCACAUCCACUAGAUCAGGCAUUUUUAAUUCACAAAAUGACAGAUUCUGGCUGAUCAUUUCCUCUAGUUCUAAUACUCUAAGAUUCUGUUCAAAAGUGUAUUAAACUAUUAGGGAAGGCAGAGGAAAGAUAAAAAUAUUCAGUCUCAACACUAGAGAAAAUAUAAGAGUGAAACUAAAAUAGAUCAAUGUAAACAUCUAUAUGACCUGGAAGUUAAUUUGAAUAUAAAUCCUGAGUAGGUACCGCAGCUAGGAAAAAUGAAUUGAGCACUGUGGUUCUCAAAAAUUGUGUAUUCAAAUCACCCAGGGUUUGUAAAACUCUUUAGUGGGCCUCAACUCUUUCAUUCAUUUGUUUUGGGAUGAGGUGUAGGGAUUUGCCUGUUUCCCAAUUCCCUGUUGAUGCUGAUGCAGCUGAUGCAGCUGGCCCAGCACAUUGCUGUGGCCCAGCUAUACUCUGAGAACCACUGUUAAAAUAUGCUUUAAAUUUCAAGAUGUGAAAACUGAUUUUUUUUUCUCAGCAGGAAUAUUUCAGAGUUGUUGAGAAUAUAUGCCACAAUAACAAAACACUAACUUCAUAAACAUAGGGAAGUUAUUUGAUACUGGUACACUUCACUCGGGCUCUGAGUCAUCUCCAAAGAACCCAUGGGCUCCACAAAUAAUUUUCAAGUAACUGGACUAGGAAAUUUCCUAUACCUUAUCUUACUGAAGUUAUCUCAUGUCCAUUUCCAUCCUAUCAGAAUAUAUGAAGAGAAGUGAUCAUUCUGCCCUGAGACUUCACAGAAUUAUUUGGCACAAACCGCGCAGCUGAGUGGCACAGCAGCUUCUGCUAAUAGUUUCAAAGGAAUGUAAAACAAUCUAUCAACUCCUAUAGUGAAACCAUAACAUCAUUUUCCAGGAGGAGGAAGCCUAGAGCCGUGCUGCUGGAGGCCCUCUUACAACCUCAAGGAAAGCCAGCCUGUGUCAAACCUACCAUCCACAUAAGGAGAGAGCAGAGAAAGUUAAGAAGAGCCAGCAAUCUGAUCCACCUGUGCUGGAAGAGUGCUAACACUGGAGUUUUCAAUGAUGUGGGCAAACCUGUCCUCCUAUUGAUUCAGCUAAUUUAGGUAUUUAUAAACUAUAAUACAAGAAUGAAUGACGUACUUCUACACAAUGAUCUUUUCCCAAAUAUUUUAAAUGAUGCAAUGUACCAGUUGUGUUUUUGUAUCCAUUGGCAGAAACAGACAUAUUGAUUAAAGUUUUGCAAAAUUCAUUAAAAUAAUUCAGUCACACCAAAAAGCAUGAUUAAACAUCAAAUGUGUACCAUUAAAUAGUUGUAUUGUUUUGCUUUUGCCUAUUGAAAAUCCUUUCCAAGUCUUCUGAAUAUUUGUACUCUACCACCGAAUUUUUUUACCUGCCAAACUACUAUCUCCUUAAAGGCUAACACACAUGAUCCCUUGAUAAGAGUUUGGUUCCUUUGGGUUGUUGAGUGUUCUGGACUGCUCAUUUAUUCUGUUAGAGAGUAGUGGGUCUGUAGUUCAAUUUAAAAAAAGCCCCUCUGUUAAGGGAGGAGUUCAAUAUGAUGUGCUAACUGGAGGCUUAAACAAGGACCCCUGGGAAUUGGGUUUUCUGUUCCAAUGAGAAUUAAUUCCAAUAAAAUAAUCUAAGUUCUGUCUUUGUACCUGUUGCCAUCUGUGAGAUGAGACAUAUCAUCCACUGGGGCAUAGCCUAGUUGUACUGAUGUACUACAAUAUUCAAAAAUAAUUUCAUCAUUUGCAGAAUUACAUGGCAAUAGAUAAAAUAUAAAGAAAAAUUUAAAAUAUAAUCAAAUGUAGCAUUCUCCUGUAAAAACCCGAGUCAGACUGAUUCUUUCAAUCUCAAGAGAACCUUUAAUAUGAUGAAGUCUUAAAUAUCAAAACAAAAUGCAUAAAUGUCAAAACCCAGGAGUAAAGGACAGAAAAUAGAACCUUGUAAUAGUCUGUCUCAGGAGGGAAUCCUGGCUCUACUGCUAUUGACUGUGAUAAAAACAAAAGUUGGAAUCAAUAGGGAGAUAAGAUGAAUGCAAUACUUACAUACGAAGAGGUACAGAGAAGACUGUAGUUUAUAUAGAGAGUAAAACAAUAGAACAUGUUAUUAAAAUCUAAAAGCAUGACUAAAAUCAGAACGGGCAAAAUUGUUGUAAAUGUACUACAGGGAACAAAUACUCAAACAAAGGAUGAGAAUAUGUUCCCUAAUGUCUUUCCCAUGAUUGCAAAAAUGUGCUUUUUAAGUAAAUUGGUUUUCU